UUCACGUUCAGCGCCUUCAGUCCGGCGGCCGGCCGUGCCGUCAGCUGACCUGUUGUCUAAACCUCCUGCCCGUUGUUCGACUUUGCUCGACGAUAUGACCAGUAUCACAUUGCUUUGUCCAUCUCAAAUUUCCUGGAUGAUAUGUACUGAUAAGGAGAGACAACCCUCAAUGAGUGAUUGCAGACUUCCAGUUUUUGUCAUCCACUUGGAAAGGGUAAUGACCUGUCAGAUGGGGGUGAGGGCAGUGGAUCUCCAAUUUUACAGGGGGGUAUCAGUUUUUGGUUGCUCCCAGUUGUUUUCAUGGAUCUUGGAUUACUGCAGCAGAGUAUGGAUGUAGAUGUUAGUCACUGGUAUUCUACACUUUAUCAAAAAAUUACCUAGUAUGGUAAUUUUAUAUAAUAAUAUUUACUGUAACAUAAUGAUUUCUCUUGCUGAACUUAUAAGGAAUAGGACAACAUGAAAACUUGACUGUUACCUGAUAAUGGUGUAUUCAAAAUCUUGUUUCUGUGUAAUUUAAUAGCAUGUAAAGGUUAUAUUUUAGCCACUUAUCUGAACUGUUUAAAUAUGAUAAAGAUUCACUGAUAGCGGUGACUACAUUUGAUAUGUAUUAUAUUUGUUAGUAGGACACAUCUGCUAGUUUUAGCUAGGAAACCAAUUAUUCAUAUCAAGUGAACCAUGUAGCCAUAUCUUGUUACUCCCUGACUUUUGAAUUAUUUAUUGUUCAUAAUUGAACAUACUGUACAGGUAGUGUUCAAGUUAGAUCAUUCGUCUUACGAUAAUCCGAUUUUACGAUGGGUUAGCAAUUAAUAUUCUUAUGACAAUAUUUUGAAAAUAUUUUUAAAUUUUCCUUGUAAUGGGUGCAAGGCAGCAGCGUACCUACAAUCAGGGCGCGAGAGAGACCAAAUUACAAUUGCCUAAUUUUAUCUCAUCUUAUAGUUAACUUUAUCCCAUCUUCUAGUUAAGUAAGUUAAAAAAAAAAAAAAAAGAGAAUGAUGAAAUAUUGUUUUAAUGUUAUACUUGUUGCGUAAAUGUGUACAGCCAUGAACAACGGGAAACGUUUUACUAAGUAUAACUGAAUUAGAUAACUAACCUUAAAUAUGAUGUAAAUGACGUUAUGUAGAAUAGGACUGAUAUAUUUUUAUGUAAUAAGCUGAGAACACUUCGAGCUGUUAAUGACUAUAAAUGUGCAUUGGCAACAAGGAUAAAACCGUAAACUUAGGCCAUCAAAAACAACUGUAGAUACACUUGAAAGAAUACAUUUUACUGUUCCUUUCGCGCCGACAAAAGGUAAAUAACGUAACUGUAAGCUCAUAUUACGAUGAAAUGAAGUGAAAAUAGUGAACGGAAUCACAACAUUUUUUUUACACAAACAUGCCCACAAUGCAAUCUGUUAACGAAAAAAAAUAAUUUGGUUCAUAAGACGUAUUAAAUUCAUUUCAACUUGAAAACACGUUGUAAAUAUAAUAAGUAAAGUAUCUAGAUAUUUUAUGCUAACUAGAAGCAAGGUAACUUGCUCCGAAUUGAGUUAAAUACGGCAAUACAAAGUCGUAUUCGCCAUCAGCGGAUUUCCAAACCAAAACAUUGACUGCUUUGUUAGUAUUUUAUGAUACAAUAUGAGAAUACAUACAAUAUUAUUGGGUACAGUAAUGUAUAACUUUUUAAAAGAUUCACGGAAAAGAUGCAUAUUCGUUGUGUUUUUAUUUCAUGAAUAUACGUAGCCAUCAGAAGCCUGACAUUGCUCAAUUAUGGCGAUGUCGGUCAAAAUCUGAUAACCUUUUCGUGUCCAAUUUAUUUUUUCUGCUGAUAUAUCAUUAUGAUGUCAGAAUGCAUUGAACCUCCAGUAUUAGCUUAUAUUAACUCUUAAACACCGAUUGGACGCAUUAUACAUCGACAUAAAUUGUCUGUUGGGUGCCGAUUGGACGUAUAGUACGUCUAUAUAAAAAGUUUUUUUAAAAAUUCGUGGAAAAAUACUUAUAGGCCUACCAGGCAAAAACUUUUGAAUCACGCGCCUUGGGGGAUGCUGGGAGCUCACGGAUCAAGCUGUUGUUUUGUUUACAAUCGUUACCCAGACGCGCAAGCGCGGAUUUCUUUCUUCUCGCACUAAAAAAACAUCAGCGACACAUCUCAGAAAUUAUUUUGUCACUCUGACAUAAUUUUUGUACCCUUUUAUAUUAGCUGUUACAUGGCGUAUUAUAUAUGAAAAUGUGUGCAAUUUUAUGUAGAAUACAACAAAAAACAAUCCAUGGUUGUAGCUUUUAUCAGUUUUGAAAUAUUUUCACAUAAGUAACGAUAAGUGCCAAAAUUUCAACCUUCGAUCAACUUUGACUCGACCGAAAUGGUAGAAAAACGCAAUUGUAAGCUAAAACUCUUAUAUUCUAGUAAUAUUCAAUCAUUUACCUUUAUUUUGCAACAAAUUGGAAUUCUCUAGCACAAUAUUUCAAUUUACGGUGAAUUUAUGAAAAAAAAACUUUUUCCUUACGUCGGCGCAGUAACUCUUCCGAAAAAAAAUCAUAAAUUUUUUAGUCCGAUUCUCGUAAUGUUUGCACCAUUUUAAAUUAGCCGUUACAUAAAGUUUUAUAUAUGAAAAUGUGUGCAAUUUUAUGUAGAAUACAAAAAAAAAUAAUUGAAGGGUGCAGCUUUUCUCAUUUUCGAAAUAUUUGCAUAUAAAUCACGAUAAAUAGAAAAAAAACCAUGUUCGGUCAACUUUGACUCUACCGAAAUGGUCGAAAAACGCAAUUGUAAGCUAAAACUCUUACAGUCUAGUAAUAUUCAGUCAUUUAUCUUAAUUUGAAACAAAUUCGAAGUAUCUAGCACAAUAUUUAGAUUUAUGGUGAAUUUAAAAAAAAAAACUUAACUUCCCUCCGCGCACGGAUUCUCCGCCGCAAAUCUCCGAAAUGCGUACGUCGCACUCUCGUAAUAUUUGCUCCAUUUCAUAUAAGGCGUUUCAUAGAGUUUUAUACAUGAAAAUGUGCGCAAUUUUAUGUAGAAUACAACAAAAAAUAAUUGAAGGUUGUAGCUUUUCUCAUUUUUGAAAUAUUUGCAUAUAAAAAAAAUAUAAAAAAAUUCAACACAUGGUCAAAUUUAACUUGUCCGAAAUGGUCGAAAACUGCAAUUGUAAGCUAAAACUCUUACAGUAUAGUAAUAUUCAAUCAUUUAUCUUAAUUUUGAAACAAAUUGGAAGUGUCUAGAACAAUAUUUCUAUUUAUGGUGAAUUUUUGAAAAAAAACUUUUUUUAUGUCCGCGUGUUACGAAUUCAUGCAUUAUUUUGUGAUGAUAUUUUCUCUGUGUUGCUUUGAUCGCUUUACAAUGUGUUAUAUAUAUACCAAAAUGAUCGCAAUUUAGUGUACAAUACAAAAAAAAAAAAUUAACUCGUUAGCUUUAACCGUUUUGCUCACAGCGCGAUUUAAAUACAAUCAUAUAGGAAAUUUUGUUUUUGUGCUAUCAUAUAUCGCAUUAUUUAUAUAUGAUAAUGAUAUUUUUUUCAUUUCUGAUGAUUGCAUACUAAACUUCAGGCAAUGACAAAAAAAGGAGCCAAAAAUGAACUCUUAAUCUUGAAAACUAAGCGCCCUGUGAUUUUUUGAAAAAAAUAUUUUUUCCGCUUCGGCGCUCACUUUGAGACCCCCCCAGCAUACGGGAGACAAUUUUUAUUAUACCCCUUCAGCGUUAAAGGGUUAAUAAAUUACUAAAUUGUAAACAUAAUAUACGUACAGUAGGGCUAGACUAUUGUAUUUGGUUGUAUACAAUAUACCAUAUCAUCAUCAUAACCCUAGGCUAACUUGUUAAUGUUAUUCAAUUUCUCUCUGUACUGAAUUAUCAUAAGCCAAUAUGUAUUGAACUUAGAGAAUUAGCUGAAAUUAAUAAUUACUAUGCCAUAUAUGUAUAAAAUAUACUGUGUAAUGUAGGCUAGGCUACCCUAUAUGUAAAGAUGGUACUGAUUACCCUAGUGUAGGCUAGGCUGUAUUCAAGAUAUGAUUUAUCCAACAAACAAUGGUUUUUUUGGAACCUAACCCCAUCUUAAGUAGGAGAAUACCUGUAUGCAGGCAAUUUGUGGCAUGAUGGCUGUUCAUAUACGGACAUCUCAUACCUAUGCAAGUUCCAGCUUGCGCUGAUAUUGUUACUUAAGUAAUAGUAACAAAUGUGAAUACAGGCAAUCCCCGUUUAUCGGUGGGGGUUCUGUUCUUGAUGGCAUGACGAUAACCAAGACUGCACCGCCAAUAACCAGGGAUUGGACCCAAAAAUUCAGUAUUUUCGUCACUACUCAAGCGCCAUAAGACCUGGUUGCCGAUAA